CUGCUCAGGAAUGCUCUGUUUGAAGCAGACCCAGCUAAUCCGGUUGGACCACAUCUACCGUUGAAUUCAACUGCGCUUUCAGUUAGGGCCCAAACUAACUACUGAAAUCUCCUUUUUCUGUCACUUCUGUCUGUGACAAUUUUGGAAACCUGCCUCCACCCGAGCAAUUUGCCCAAGCCCUACCACCGAUCCGCUCUUCAGGCUCAGCGUAGCUGAAAACGAUGGUGAGUGACAAACUGUGCUCCUCUUCUCAGU
rnacentral:lncRNA from 1 species